rnacentral:rRNA from 1 species
GACGAACGCUGGCGGCGUGCCUAAUACAUGCAAGUAGAACGCACAGGAUGCACCGUAGUUUACUACACCGUAUUCUGUGAGUUGCGAACGGGUGAGUAACGCGUAGGUAACCUGCCUGGUAGCGGGGGAUAACUAUUGGAAACGAUAGCUAAUACCGCAUAAGAACAUUUACUGCAUGGUAGAUGUUUAAAAGGUGCAAAAGCAUCACUACCAGAUGGACCUGCGUUGUAUUAGCUAGUUGGUGAGGUAACGGCUCACCAAGGCAACGAUACAUAGCCGACCUGAGAGGGUGAUCGGCCAUACUGGGACUGAGACACGGCCCAGACUCCUACGGGAGGCAGCAGUAGGGAAUCUUCGGCAAUGGGGGGAACCCUGACCGAGCAACGCCGCGUGAGUGAAGAAGGUUUUCGGAUCGUAAAGCUCUGUUGUAAGAGAAGAACGAGUGUGAGAGUGGAAAGUUCACACUGUGACGGUAUCUUACCAGAAAGGGACGGCUAACUACGUGCCAGCAGCCGCGGUAAUACGUAGGUCCCGAGCGUUGUCCGGAUUUAUUGGGCGUAAAGCGAGCGCAGGCGGUUAGAUAAGUCUGAAGUUAAAGGCUGUGGCUUAACCAUAGUACGCUUUGGAAACUGUUUAACUUGAGUGCAAGGGGGGAGAGUGGAAUUCCAUGUGUAGCGGUGAAAUGCGUAGAUAUAUGGAGGAACACCGGUGGCGAAAGCGGCUCUCUGGCUUGUAACUGACGCUGAGGCUCGAAAGCGUGGGGAGCAAACAGG